rnacentral:rRNA from 1 species
CACCGCGGUUAUACGAGAGGCCCAAGUUGAUGACCAUCGGCGUAAAGCGUGGUUAAGAAAAAACUUAAACUAAAGUCAAACAUCUUCAAGACUGUUAUACGUAACCGAAGACAGGAAGUUCAACCACGAAAGUGGCUUUAUCUGAUCUGAACCCACGAAAGCUAAGGAA